GACGAACGCUGGCGGCGUGCUUAACACAUGCAAGUCGAACGGAAAGGCCCCUUUGGGGGUACUCGCGUGGCGGACGGGUGAGUAACACGUGCGUAACCUGCCCUUGACUUCGGGAUAACUUCAGGCAACUGGGGCUAAUACCGGCUAGGAAUCCUUGCUGCAUGGUGGGGGUUGGAAAGCUUCGGCGGGUUUGGAUGGACUCGCGGGCUAUCAGCUUGUUGGUGGGGUAGUGGGUUACCAAGGCUUUGACGGGUAGGCGGCCUGGGAGGGCGAACGGCCAAAUUGGGACUUGGAUACGGCCCAGGAGUCUACGGGGGGCAGGAGGGGGGAAUAUUGGAAAAUGGGCGGGAGGCCGAUGCAGGAACGCCGCGGGGGGGAAGACGGGCUUCGGGUUGUAAACCGCUUUCAGCAGGGGCGGAGCUUGUGGUGACGGUACCUGCAGAAGAAGCACCGGCUAACUACGUG
rnacentral:rRNA from 1 species